UACGUAGGGGGCAAGCGUUGUCCGGAGUUACUGGGCGUAAAGCGCACGCAGGCGGUCGUGCAAGUUUGGAGUGACAGUUGGGGGCUCAACUCCCAAAGUGCUUCGAAAACUGCGCGACUUGAGGGCUUCAGAGGGACACGGAAUUCCGGGUGGAGUGGUGAAAUGCGUAGAGAUCCGGAGGAACACCAAAGGCGAAGGCAGUGUCCUGGGGAGUACCUGACGCUCAGGUGCGAAAGCCAGGGGAGCGAAC
rnacentral:rRNA from 1 species